rnacentral:rRNA from 1 species
AUUGAACGCUGGCGGCAGGCCUAACACAUGCAAGUCGAGCGAGUGGCGGACGGGUGAGUAAUGUCUGGGAAACUGCCCGAUGGAGGGGGAUAACUACUGGAAACGGGAGCUAAUACCGCAUACCAUCGGAUGUGCCCAGAUGGGAUUAGCUAGUAGGGGGGGUAAAGGUUCACCUAGGCGACGAUCCCUAGCUGGUCUGAGAGGAUGACCAGCCACACUGGAACUGAGACACGGUCCAGACUCCUACGGGAGGCAGCAGUGGGGAAUAUUGCACAAUGAGCGCAAGCCUGAUGCAGCCAUGCCGCGUGUAUGAAGAAGGCCUUCGGGUUGUAAAGUACUUUCAGCGGGGAGGCGUUACCCGCAGAAGAAGCACCGGCUAACUCCGUGCCAGCAGCCGCGGUAAUAC